GGGCCCGUGGUCCAGCUUGGAUAAGACGCAGGCCUGCGGUCUGAAAGGGCAGCGAGCCUGUAACCCGGGUUCGAAUCCCGGCGGGCCCG
rnacentral:tRNA from 1 species